AGAAUCUACCUUCAGGAUGGGGACAACCGUUGGAAACGACGGCUAAUCCCCAAUGCGCCGAGAGGUAAAAAGGGUUUCCGCCUGAAGAGGAGCUCGCGUCCGAUUAGUUAGUUGGUGGGGUAAGAGCCUACCAAGGCGUCGAUCGGUAGCUGGUCUGAGAGGAUGAGCAGCCACACUGGGACUGAGACACGGCCCAGACUCCUACGGGAGGCAGCAGUGGGGAAUUUUCCGCAAUGGGCGAAAGCCUGACGGAGCAACGCCGCGUGUGGGAAGAAGGCUUUUGGGCUGUCAACCACUUUUCUCAAGGAAGAAGUUCUGACGGUACUUGAGGAAUCAGCCUCGGCUAACUCCGUGCCAGCAGCCGCGGUAAUACGGAGGAGGCAAGCGUUAUCCGGAAUUAUUGGGCGUAAAGCGUCCGCAGGGGGCGCAUCAAGUCUGCUGUUAAAGGUCGGAGCUUAACUCCGGUGAGGCAGUGGAAACUGGUGCGCUAGAGGGCGACAGGGGUAGAGGGAAUUCCCAGUGUAGCGGUGAAAUGCGUAGAGAUUGGGAAGAACACCGGUGGCGAAAGCGCUCUACUGGGUCGCACCUGACCCUCAGGGACGAAAGCUAAGGUAGCGAAAGGGAUUAGAUACCCCUGUAGUCUUAGCCGUAAACGAUGGAUACUAGGCGUGGUUUGUAUCGACCCAAGCCGUGCCGAAGCUAACGCGUUAAGUAUCCCGCCUGGGGAGUACGCACGCAAGUGUGAAACUCAAAGGAAUUGACGGGGGCCCGCUCUAGCGGUGGAGGAUGUGGUUUAAUUCGAUGCAACGCGAAGAACCUUACCAGGGCUUGACAUCCCGAGAAGUCUGGGGAAAGUAGAGAUGUUGCCUUCCGGGUAACGCGCGAGAGCAGGUGGUGCAUGGCUGUCGUCAGCUCGUGUCGUGAGAUGUUGGGUUAAGUCCCGCAACGAGCGCAACCCUCGUCCUUAGUUGCCAGCAUUAAGUUGGGCACUCUAGGGAGACCGCCGGUGACAAACCGGAGGAAGGUGAGGAUGACGUCAAGUCAGCAUGCCCCUUAUGCUCUGGGCGACACACGUCCUACAAUGGUCGGGACAAAGGGGAGCCAGCUCGCGAGAGUAAGCGAAUCCCAUCAAACUCGGCCUC
rnacentral:rRNA from 1 species